CCUUCUUGUAAACGCAAAUACGCAAAUAUAUUCAGCGGACUUCAUCUUCCCAGCCUCCAAUGCGACAUCAUCCUUCACCGCCACUGCGCCCCUCGACACUGGACAUCACCGCCACCGCUCACCGCGACACCGCCUAGCGUCACAGCCAUCGCCACACCUCCCUCCGCCCAAGCCUUCGUUUCGACGCCUCGAGGUUCACCCGCACAGCCACAGCCACCCACCGCGCAUCUCCGCCGCUUCCCGCCGCAUCGAGACACCGCCGCCUGCCUUCCCGCAUCUCCGAGGAUUUACAGGUGAAGGCUUCUCCACCUGUUCAAAUAAUCAAUGAUCCAGCUAUUAUUCCGGCAAGUAAUGUGCAAGUUGGCUAGGCUCAUAAAGGGGGGAGAUGUUGCAGAGAAAUACGCUGUAUAUCAAUUUUCAAACAAGCAGGUGGCAGUGAUUUGCAAUCAUCAAUGCAGUGUUUCUAAGACGCACGCUUUACAAAUUUCUCGCUUGAAUGAGAAGAUAGAAGAGUCAAAGGCUCCAGGUCACCUCUUGAACUGGUAAAAAAUGUAGCAACUGUACUUACAAAAUGGGGAAAACUUCUGAAGUAUUAUUUGCCAAGCAUUGAUGAGGAGAUUGAAGUGAUAUUGAAAUUUGAAGAAUUGUGCUUGGAAUCUGCAAAGGAGCAUUCUUCUUUAUAAAAAAAAAAAAAAAAAGACAUUAUCCAAGAAGAGGCUAUACUUAAGUGGGCUUCUGAGAAGGAAGAAGCAGAUGAAUCAGAUAAGGUUUUUGUCAAGCAGUCGGAAAAGUUUAUUCAGUGGCUCAUAGAAGCAUCUGAAGAGGAGGAUUGAGAUUCUUGUUAAGAUUAAGAUGUUCCCUGUAGACAUGCAUUUUAUCUUACAAUGCCAGCUGACUUCAAGGACUUGUACACGAGCGUGCCAGAAUCCGCCGCCUUUGAGAGAUGGUACAAAUCAUAGAGAACCAAUUUUUUACUUGAAACCUUUCUCCAUGUACUGUUGGCUAUAACAUAGGUCUGAUCUUAGUAUCUUUCAUUAAAAUCCCACCUGCAUUUUUGUAGCUUUCAGUUUACUUGCUGAGUUGCUGUUGUAUUAUCAUUUAUAUUUUCUAUUGUCUGGAAGCCCAAUUUGGUCAGGUGUUUCUCUUGUUGAGAAUGGUUUUUUACUAGAUAAGCAGCUAUAGCUACCUGUA